UACGGGGGGGAGCAAGCGUUGUUCGGAUUUACUGGGCGUAAAGCGCGCGUAGGCGGCUUUGCAAGUCGGGUGUGAAAUCCCCAGGCUUAACCUGGGAACUGCAUUCGAGACUGCAUUGCUAGAGUAUGGGAGAGGGAAGUGGAAUUUCCGGUGUAGCGGUGAAAUGCGUAGAUAUCGGAAGGAACAUCAGUGGCGAAAGCGACUUCCUGGACCAAUACUGACGCUCAUGUGCGAAAGCGUGGGGAGCAAACAGG
rnacentral:rRNA from 1 species